rnacentral:rRNA from 1 species
CCUACGGGUGGCAGCAGUGAGGAAUAUUGGUCAAUGGGCGCUAGCCUGAACCAGCCACGUAGCGUGAAGGACGAUUGCCCUAUGGGUUGUAAACUUUUUUUAUAUGGGACUAAAGUGCAGUAUGUAUACUGCUCUGCAUGUACCUUAUGAUUAAGGACGGGGUAACUCCGUGCCAGCAGCCGCGGUUAUCCGGAGGAUCCGAGCGUUAUCCGGAUUUAUUGGGGUUAAAGGGACCGUAGGCGGGAGGUUAAGUCAGUUGUGAAAGUUGGCGGCUCAACCGUAAAAUUGCAGUUGAUACUGGCAGCCUUGAGUGCAGGAGAGGUAGGCGGAAUGCGUGGUGUAGCGGUGAAAUGCAUAGAUAUCACGAAGAACUCCGAUUGCGAAGGCAGCCUGCUGGACUGUAACUGACGCUGAUGCUCGAAAGUGUGGGUAUCAAACAGGAUUAGAUACCCCUGUAGUC